AUAAAAAUAUUUUCUAUUUUUGUUACUUUACUUAUCCUUUUUUUCUCUCUUACUAAUUUUUGGGUUUUUCUUUUUGUAUGAUUUGAUCAGGAAUCAAAGAGAGCAUCUGGGACAAUCAAAAAGGGAACUGCUGGAAAAGGAAUACUGUCGAGGUUUGCCUAAAUUUUUUUUUUCAAAAUUGCUGGGGAAAUUCCCUUUGGUAACCUCUAAACCUUUCUUAUUUAAAUUUCCUUUUGUGGUGAUUGUUUGAUUUUAAAUUCAGCAAAAGUGUGAAUGCAUGCUUGAUACACAUACACCAAUUAAUCCGCACAUAGUAAGGGCAAUUAUCCCUACAAGAUAAGAACUGGAUUUCAUCACCAGAUUCUUGCCCAAAUUAGGUGAACCAAUUCUCACAUAGCCAUCACGUUAAUUAAAAUCAAUUAGACGUUGGCCCCUAGGGACAUUCGAGCUCAAUAGGAAGAAGAUCACCGAAAGUUGCACCAAUUUCGCUCUGUGGCUCAGUUG
rnacentral:lncRNA from 1 species